GAUCAUGAACGUAAUGGAUGCAUAUUAUGUAAAAGUGAUAAAUACUGUGAACCACAUGAUUAUGAUUACCUCUGCCCUUGUGAAUGGCAUCAGACAGACCAUAAUAGGCAUCUAAGUGAAAUAGAAAACAAUAUUAAAAAGAAAGCUUGCAGUUGCGAAGGAUUUCCAUUCCAUGAGGUAAUAAUCCAACUGUGUAUUUUUUUUAAUUGUUAUAUGGAGAAAUUUUAAUCCAGAACAUGACUAUUCUGGUAAGAAAUGACACCAAAGACCUUCUAGGUCUGUGUGAUCUGGCUGGAGUACAGUCAUGGCCCUUCAUCCCAGGAGACAGAGGCAAACAGAUCUGAGUUCAAGGCCAGCCUAGUAUAGAGCAAGUAUCAGAUAAAGAGAAGCUUAGGUCCAGGUGUUCUAGUGCACAACUUUAAUCCCAGCACUCAAGAGACAGAGGCAUGCAGAUCUCUUGAGUGCUAGUCAAUUCUCUUCGAUGAGUUCAUUUGAGUCGGUGAGUUGAGAGGUAGGCAGUAGAAUUGAGUUCAUGGAAUUCAGAGGUUGUCUUACCAGGACAGUUAUAGAGAGACAGGUUAGAGGAAAAAAAAAAAAAAAAAAAAACAAGCUAGACAUGGAUGAAGACAGAUCCUGCCAGAGAGUGAGAAGAAGCCAAAAGAUUAGAACAUAUUGCCAAAGUUAAUAUGGGCCCAAGAAGAGCAAUUCAGGGGAGGCAGAGAGAGAAAAGCCAGAUUAGAUCAGUCAGUUUGGAGAGGAGUUAGAGCCAGAGCAGCUGAGUUAAACCAGCCAGCAAGAAUUCAGAAAGAGCUGGAAGACGUGAGCUUAUUCAGCAGGAAGUCUCAGAGGCUGAAAACACUCUAGGUGUAGGCUUAGGUUGGAUUGUACAGAGGCUUGAAACUUCCAAGACUAGGCCUAGCUUAGCAGAGGGAGGCAGAAAGCCUUUGGAGACAAUUACUUCAGGAGAAUUAAAGUUACUUUUAAGUCCUGAUUUUUGUCUUUUUAUUUUUUCACUUAGGUCAUCCAAGAGUUCCUUUUGAAUAAGAAUAAAAUGUUGAAACCGAUCACAUACCAAAGACCUGAUUUAUUAUUGUUUCAGGUAUCUGGAAGUAAAUUCUUACUUAAUAAUACAAAAUUAGAUAUGAGAAAGAUCAAAAGGAUAUUAGCUUCCAUGUGUGAGAGGAGACUUAAAACCUAAAACAGAUAACUGUUGACUGCCCCACUAUUACUCAUUAUUCACCUCCAACCUUUACCCCUUGGCUGUGUAAGAUCCAUACUUUUCAGACCAUAAGGCAAACACAGACUGCUUCUCAGAAAGAUGUCUCGGUUACUAUGUGCAGACAAGUCGAAUCCAGGAAUAUGUCCAGGAAAGAAGGUUCAGGACAAGGGAUGCUAAGAUCAAAGACACUGACUAUGAAAUGUCCUGAAAAUAGAAGUAAUAUUACCACCUCGUCAAAUCACCAUGAGUGUUAAAUGAGGUUAUUUUAACCUGUGAUGUUGUAAUUAGGGAAACAGAUGGCUCAGUGAACCUACUUGCACAUUACCUUGCUGGUAGUCAUUAUACUUUAUAAAUGUCUUCCUACUUAAUCUACAUAAACUGUGAACAGGGUUACAUUCUCUCCAUUUAUAGAUUGAAAAAUGACCUAGGAGGGUCAAGGAGCAUCCCCCCCCCUCCUUACAUAGACUGGUACUCUGGUGGAGGGCCUUCUCAACCAGGUUGUCAUUUGACACCUUCUCCUUAGGGAGCUCCUUGUUUUUUUCUGGAAAUAUCAUCACUAAUAUUACUUUAGCAUUACUCUUAAAGCAAAAAUAAUAUUGUCUUAAGAGUAUUUCUUGUUUUAAAAGUAAUAUUUACUUUAAAUAUUUAUUUACUGUAUUUCUAGAGAUUUACUGUUCAAAAAAUGGAGUGGCCCAGUCACUAUGCAUGUGAAAAAUUGUUGGUGCUUUUGACCCGCUAUGACAUGAUAGAAAGAAAACAUGGUAGAAAGACCUCCAAUCAACUACAGCCAAUUAGGUAAUGUAUGGUUGACACUGGAGACAUGGCUCAGCAGUUAAGAAUAACUGUUGCUCUGGCAAGGGACCUGGGUUCACUUCCCAGCACCCAAAUGCUAGUGUACAACCAUCUGUGACUCCAGUUCCAGGGAAUCUGAUGCCUUCUUCUGGCUAUUAUAGGCACCACGAAUCCUUGUGAUGUACAGACAUAUAUGUAUGUGGGCAAAACAUACAUAUGUUUAAAAUAAAUAAAUCUAAAAAAUAAAUUUUAUUUUAUUUUUUAAAUAAAAAUUUAUUUAUUUGAAUUUUAAAAUAAAUUUAAAACUAUUAGUAAAAAGAAUUUUGUGAUAAACUGUUUCCACUUGAAUAUUUGAUAAUCAGAAGUGUUGCUCCCUAUGGGUAUGGUAUCUGUUCUCCAAAAGUCAAGGAAAGCCCAGAAAUUAAAAGCAUAAUUAGUUCAGGACAGCCAGAGCUACAUAGUGAGACUGUGUCUCUC
rnacentral:lncRNA from 1 species